rnacentral:tRNA from 1 species
UGUCCAGGAAUGGGAAUCGAACCCACAGUGUUCCGCUUACCGGGCAGAUGCCAUGUCCACUAAGCUGCCCUGGAC